rnacentral:rRNA from 1 species
CGGCGCGCGGGUGAGUAACGCGUAUCCAACCUUCCGUACACUCAGGGAUAGCCUUUCGAAAGAAAGAUUAAUACCUGAUGGUAUGAUGAGAUUGCAUGAUAGCAUCAUUAAAGAUUUAUCGGUGUACGAUGGGGAUGCGUUCCAUUAGGUAGUAGGCGGGGUAACGGCCCACCUAGCCAACGAUGGAUAGGGGUUCUGAGAGGAAGGUCCCCCACAUUGGAACUGAGACACGGUCCAAACUCCUACGGGAGGCAGCAGUGAGGAAUAUUGGUCAAUGGACGAGAGUCUGAACCAGCCAAGUAGCGUGAAGGAUGAAGGUCCUACGGAUUGUAAACUUCUUUUAUAAGGGAAUAAACCCUCCCACGUGUGGGAGCUUGUAUGUACCUUAUGAAUAAGCAUCGGCUAACUCCGUGCCAGCAGCCGCGGUAAUACGGAGGAUGCGAGCGUUAUCCGGAUUUAUUGGGUUUAAAGGGAGCGCAGACGGGUCGUUAAGUCAGCUGUGAAAGUUUGGGGCUCAACCUUAAAAUUGCAGUAGAUACUGGCGUCCUUGAGUGCGGUUGAGGUGUGCGGAAUUCGUGGUGUAGCGGUGAAAUGCUUAGAUAUCACGAAGAACUCCGAUUGCGAAGGCAGCACACUAAUCCGUAACUGACGUUCAUGCUCGAAAGUGUGGGUAUCAAACAGGAUUAGAUACCCUGGUAGUCCACACGGUAAACGAUGGAUACUCGGGGUUGG